rnacentral:pre_miRNA from 1 species
CACUCCCGUCACCCCGGCGAAGGCCGGGGCCGCUGCAUUCUGGGCACCCGCUGUGCACACCAACGCGGCGAUCCCGGCCUGCGCCGGGAUGACGAUUGGG